UACCUAUAAGGACUGGGAUAACUUCGGGAAACCGGAGCUAAUACCGGGAUAAUAUUUUGAACCGCAUGGUUCAAAAGUGAAAGACGGUCUUGCUGUCACUUAUAGAUUGGGAUCCGCGCUGCAUUAGCUAGUUGGUAAGGUAACGGCUUACCAAGGCAACGAUGCAUAGCCGACCUGAGAGGGUGAUCGGCCACACUGGAACUGAGACACGGUCCAG
rnacentral:rRNA from 1 species